rnacentral:rRNA from 1 species
AGCGAACGCUGGCGGCAGGCCUAACACAUGCCAGUCGAACGGAUCCUUCGGGAUUAGUGGCGGACGGGUGAGUAACACGUGGGAACGUGCCCUUUGGUUCGGAACAACUCAGGGAAACUUGAGCUAAUACCGGAUGUGCCCUUCGGGGGAAAGAUUUAUCGCCAUUGGAGCGGCCCGCGUCUGAUUAGCUAGUUGGUGAGGUAACGGCCCACCAAGGCGACGAUCAGUAGCUGGUCUGAGAGGAUGAUCAGCCACACUGGGACUGAGACACGGCCCAGACUCCUACGGGAGGCAGCAGUGGGGAAUCUUGCGCAAUGGGCGAAAGCCUGACGCAGCCAUGCCGCGUGAAUGAUGAAGGUCUUAGGAUUGUAAAAUUCUUUCAGCGGGGACGAUAAUGACGGUACCCGCAGAAGAAGCUCCGGCUAACUGCGUG